GACGAACGCUGGCGGCGUGCUUAACACAUGCAAGUCGAACGGAAAGGCCCUGCUUUUGUGGGGUGCUCGAGUGGCGAACGGGUGAGUAACACGUGAGCAACCUGCCCUUGACUUUGGGAUAACUUCAGGAAACUGGGGCUAAUACCGGAUAGGAGCUCCUCCUGCAUGGUGGGGGUUGGAUAGUUUCGGCGGUUGGGGAUGGACUCGCGGCUUAUCAGCUUGUUGGUGGGGUGGGGGCUUACCAAGGCAUUGGCGGGUAGCCGGCCUGAGAGGGUGACCGGCCACCUGGGUACUGAGGUAGGCCCCAGAGUCGAACGGGAGGCAGCGGGGGGGAACAUGGCCCAAUGGGCGGAGGCCUGAGCAGACAGCGCGCGGGUCGGGAUGACGGCUUGCGGGUUGAAAACCGCUUCAGCUUGUAACGAGGCGUGUGUGACGGUACCGGGAGAAGAAGCACCGGCUAACUACGUG
rnacentral:rRNA from 1 species